rnacentral:lncRNA from 1 species
CUUCAUGGUUGAGGAAAAAAAGCUGAGGAAAGAGGAGGAACUUGAUAUGUCUAGGUAGUAGCUGUUCCCUGGGACUACCUGACACCUUAGAAAGGUAACCAGACUUACAGCCUCUCCUCCCCACAUUCUCGCUGCCCCCACCCCAUUCUGGGGUUUAAACCUUGGCACUUUACCACUAAGCAACAUCCCAGGUCCUUUUUAUUUAUUUUGAGACAGGGUUUUGCUAAGUUGGUGAAGGUCUCACUAAAUUGGUGAGGUUGGCCUCCAUCUUGCCAUGCUUCUAACUUAGCUUCCUAGGUCAUCAUUUUUUGCACAAGAGUGCUGCAGCAAGACCACAGAGAUGUGAGAUCCCAGGGCCACUGUUGCCAGCAGAGUGCCCUUAUCCCCCAGUGAAUGGGGCACCCUUCUUGUCGGCCUGAAAAAUGCGUCCUCAGGUAAGACCUCACUAAUUCAGAAGUACUCUGAAUGCAUGUCUCCCUCUUGCCAUCUGCUAAGCCACACCCUGGUCCCAAAUCCUCCUUAUAGCUCCUUGGCAGUGGUUAUGUUCCUGAAAGCUGGGUCCUUGUCCCCAUGUCAAUCAAAUAAUGAAGACAUGGUUUUUGGGUUUUUAAAUUUUUUUUUAGUUAUACAUGGACACAAUAUCUUUAUUUUGUUUAUUUAUUUUUAUGUGGUGCUGAGGAUCGAACACUUUAUAUAUACCUGAGACAAAACAGUGUACUUCACUAAUGUAAUGUGCAUUACCACAUUAGCCUCAAAUAAAAUCAGGAUGUAGUACACAUAAUUAUCACCAUAUGGUAAGUCUUCUAUGAAUCAUCAGUAAGAGAGGCACAUCUAUUUGUUGCUGAUUAUAUACAUCCAGAAGACAGCAUUCUUCACUUUGCUUUACCACAUGUCCUCAGACAACAUCAGGAUACAUGGUGAAAGGAGACUUAUAAAGCAGUAUAUGGGAGUCAAAAGGUCAUCAUUUUUUGCACUUGUCCUCGGAAAACAUCCAUCAGAGUGACAUUAAAGUGCUCUUCAUUCUGAAUGUGGGUAUAAAAGUAACAUUCCCAGAGCCUGUGUUCAUACUAUAGUGGAUGUAUUCUUUACUACCAUUCACUAAUGAAUUUUUGGUUUUUUUCCAUAGGAUUUGGAGGAUAACACCCAGACAGGGAAACGUGCCAUUGUUCCUGCUACUAAAUAUUGUUUCAUUUUCUUUGUGCUACAUAUUUUUGACAUAUGAAAGUUUGUCUCCAUUGUGAAUUUUUUUCCAGUUAGGGAUACCUGGCACAGCUUUGAUUAGGGAGGGAAAUUUUGACUCUGCUUCGGGAUGGAGUGAAAUGAUUCUCUCAACCCAAGGUAGAAGGGUAAGUAUCUUUCUUGAUGGUGAUAUCCACAUAGAAAGGUAGUAAUGUAGUGAUAUUACAUAUUGUGAUACCACUCAGAAAGACAAAAUUAUCCUGGCUGAGGCAGAAGGAUCGUAUGAUAAUAUUAUUUUUACUGAUCCAUGUAUUUUACACAAAUGACAAUAGUUUAAACCCAAUGUGAACUUUCAUUUCACUGAAUGUUCCUCUGAUGGUCAUAUGAUAUGAGAAUCAAAUUUGUACACUAAGAAUAGUGGAAAUUUUGAUUCUUGACAUGUAGACAAAUCACCAGGAGAAAGGGGAUAUUUCUUAAUGCUAGGAAGAUGUAAAUUGCAGUAAAAAGUCUUCAAUAAGGUUUCUCACAAUAUGUCCAAAAUAAUAUCAGAAAGAGGGAAAGAGAAAUAAAAAAUAUCAGAAAUUUAAGGUUAAAUAUCGCAUAAUGAAGAUUAAAUUUGAAACACACACAUUAUUUUUCCAUUUGGUAGCCUCAAAUGUAUCUAGCAGUGGCACGUUGAGUGUGAAACAUGUCACAGUAGAAGAAUGUCUUGUAAGAAAAGUCCGCGGAGUUCCCAGUCAGAAUGGGGGACUCUACUCAGGACCAGAGAGAGGGGUUCUUGGCCUAUGGAAUGCGAAAUUAUUUCUUCUGGCAGAACUCUGAUUACGGGCGGCAAUCCUUCCAAAGUGUGCUUUGGAGUGAUGAUACGCUCCACUUGGCCUUCUAUGUGGAGUUCCAGAAGGUAAGGGAAGUGUGUUUACUGCUGGUGAUAUACACAUGGGAGGAGAUGGCACUUGUCACCAGUGUGCCUUACCACGUGGCCUCAAUCAUCCUCCAAAUGUGUGGCUGUAGGUGGCCUACCUUCCAGCUGAUCUUCCUCUGACACAAACCAUUGGGACUGUUCCGUGCUCUCUGGGUCCAGACUGAAUGUGGCUGUACAUGCCAGAAACAGGGGGGCACACAGCACACACGUGGGAGGUUUUCAUAGGUAGAGACUGAUUUGCAGCUGGUACUUUAUUCCAUUCCCAGGAGAGAUGAAUGCCUGGUGGCAAAGUAGUCCCUUCGGGGUGCAGUGUGACUUGAGUUUCCUCACUGCUACCCUCUGAAGACUGAGCUGUCCUUUCAGAUAGAUAGUGCCAGUUGGUUGGGUAUGUAGCUACACUGAAAUAAGAGGUGAGGCAGAGAGAGGCCGCUUUCCUUCAGAAUGUUGUCAACUACUGUGAGGGGUCAAGGCCAGUAUAAUUCACUUCCCCAAAUACUGAACACAGAGAGUGGGAAUUGUGAAGAAUGAUGGCAAGGAAAGGCUUGAGAAUACUUGCUAUGCUUGGUAGUUGUCCCGGAGAGACUGGUUCAGUGGUAGCCUCAAGAGAGAGUUUCAGAAAAGGAACCACCUGACUUAGGUGUUGUACUUGAGCAGCAGCUGAUAAAAAGAAUAUUAUAGAAUAUAUAAUCAUUUUAUAUAAAAUAAAAAGUAUCCCAUAUAUAACACUAUGAAAUAAUUAUACAUCAUAUGGAAUUAUGUAAUUGUAUCUGGAUCAAUGGCCAACGUCUCAUUGUGGGGUUCUUUUUCCUGCCCAGGAGAAUCUAAUCUACCCUGAAACUUAAAAGUCUCAAAUAAUUAGUGAAUAACAAAAUAUAAAUAUUCAGAAAUAUAUUUACAAAAGGCGAAGCCCCUGAUAGAUCUAAUCCACAUUGUGUCUGGAACUAGA